UACAGGGGGUGCAAACGUUGCUCGGAAUCAUUGGGCGUAAAGCGCACGUAGGCGGUUCGUUAUGUCGGAUGUGAAAGCCCUUGGCUUAACCGAGGAAGUGCAUCCGAAACUGGCGAGCUAGAGUACGAAAGAGGAUCGCGGAAUUCCCAGUGUAGAGGUGAAAUUCGUAGAUAUUGGGAAGAACACCGGUGGCGAAGGCGGCGACCUGGUCCUUUACUGACGCUGAGGCGCGAAAGCGUGGGGAGCAAACAGG
rnacentral:rRNA from 1 species